CCUCAGCCACUAGGCAUGACCUAACAGGCAUACUUGGGGUAUAGGCUCAGUCCUAAUUUGGGAGAGGGGAACAGGAUUUGUCACCAUCUCUGACAUAUGGAAACAGGUUGUUGUCCUUGAGGUCGAUCUCCUGCAGGUUGUGAAGGCUGAAGAUGGAGUGAGGGAUGCGCUCCAGGUCACAGCGGAUCAGCUCUAGCUCCGUCAGGUUUACC